UACGGGGGGGGCAAGCGUUGUUCGGAAUUACUGGGCGUAAAGGGCUCGUAGGCGGCCAACUAAGUCAGACGUGAAAUCCCUCGGCUUAACUGGGGAACUGCGUCCGAUACUGGAUGGCUUGGAUUUGGGAGAGGGAUGCGGAAUUCCAGGUGUAGCGGUGAAAUGCGUAGAUAUCUGGAGGAACACCGGUGGCGAAGGCGGCAUCCUGGACCAAUAUUGACGCUGAGGAGCGAAAGCUAGGGGAGCAAACGGG
rnacentral:rRNA from 1 species